GACGAACGCUGGCGGCGUGCUUAACACAUGCAAGUCGAACGAAGUGGCGAACGGGUGAGUAAUACGUGGGUAACCUGCCCUCCUUUUUGGGAUAAGCCUUGGAAACGGGGUCUAAUACCGAAUAAAGGGGGAUGGGCUCGCGGCCUAUCAGCUUGUUGGUGGGGUGAUGGCCUACCAAGGCGGUGACGGGUAGCCGGCCUGAGAGGGUGACCGGCCACAUUGGGACUGGGAUCCGGCCCGGACUCCUACGGGAGGCAGCAGUGAGGAAUAUUGGUCAAUGUGCGCUAGCCUGAACCAGCCAAGUAUCGUGAAGGAUGAAGGCUUAUGGGUCGUAAACUUCUUUUAUAUAAGAAUAUGUAUUAUAUGAAUAAGGAUCGGCUAACUCCGUGCCAGCAGCCGCGGUAAUUC
rnacentral:rRNA from 1 species